UAUUCCAGUCUGGAUGACCAGAUGACGGGUCCACAGCGGUGAUCACCAACCGGACAUCCACUGCCCAUUCUUGUAGUGGACUGCUCUGCUUUCAGAAAGCCUACCAAGGUCAACCACCAGAGGGGGACUGCAAACGAUGAUCCACAACCAGGGCAUCACGUGGAGGAUCAGGUGGUGACGGGUCUCUGCAGGGUCAGGCAGCCAGGGAAGACCAGCCUGUGAUGGAGGUCUGUUUAGUUUGCUGGUGCCUCUGGGCACAUGGAGGGAUGAGGCAGGGAGGGAGAGCAGCCUGGAGCCCCUGCCUGCCAGGAGCUCCCCUGCCUGGCUCGGGGGAAGGUUGGGCUGGAUUAGACGGCUGACAGCUGGGCCAGAUCUCUGGAGGCACCGGGUGGAAAGGCCCCCUGUCUGACUGCCGCUGCACCAAGUGUCAAUUUGAGCAUGAAGGAAGGUGCAGGGAGCAGGUGAAGAGAGGGAUGGAGCGAGAGAACAGGGGCCACUGGUAGUCCUCUGUGGAUUGACAUCAUUGGUGCAUGGGCCGUGCACACCGUUAGGCAUCGAGAAACACACUGUUUAUUUAGGAGGAGCUUCCGACUUGGGAGCACAAAUGUGCACACACGGAUGGCAGACGCACGUGCGCAGACACACAUGGAUAGACAGACAGAGACAAAGCCCACUUACAAGCGUUGAGCUCUGCCCUCUUCUAUAUGUAAGUCUUGUUGUCGGUAGAAGUGAGUAGAGGAGAAAGUCUAACUUGCAUAGUGACAGCAUGUACUUACAUUACCUUGUUGUUUAAGUAACACACCCACAUAUUUUAGAUAUCGGCAGCCAGCCACUGGUUUGAAUACUUGAGUCAACAAGUUGAAAAAUCUUUCGAUGUGCCCUUGAACAAGGUAAAUAACCAUAAUUUGGUCCAGGGGAAAUGUACUACUAUGGCUGACCCUGUAAAAUAAAACAUAUCUUUAUAUUUAGGAAACAACAGCUUAAAUAAUGCCUGGAACUCUUCUUGGGAACCCACAGCUUUUCUAUAAUGGAAAUAUAACCCACCUCAGGCAGCAUCCUAUACAAUUAAGUGCAAUCAAGAUUACAGACUACUUGAAAUUAAACCGUUUCUUGUUUUUAAUCAAGAAAAUAAUUCACUGAGGGGAAAUCUAAUCAAUUUAACUUGCCAGCCAUGGUGGAUGCAACGUUAUGUUACCUGAUUUGACUUUGAACUUUUUUGCAUUGUUAAGUUUCUUUGGGGAUAUUUGACUAGAUACGACAUAUACUUACGCAUAUGAAUAAAGACAUGCACCAGUGACACAAUUAAAGGGUCUUAGAAUGUUAAAGAAUAACGAUGUACACAAUAACAUUUCCCCUAACGAGUCCAUAUUACUCCAAUGAGGCUAACAUUUAUUUCCUGCUCUGAGACAUUGACGUCCCUGUGAUAUGGGCUAGAGAAGUUUUUAUCCCA